CCUACGGGAGGCUGCAGUAGGGAAUCUUCCACAAUGGGCGAAACCCUGAAGCAGCAACGCCGCGUGGGGGAUGAAGGUCUUCGGAUUGUACACUCCUUUUGUUAGAGAAGAUAAUCCCUCUAUCUAACGAAUCCUCCCCGGCCCAUUCCGGUCCAGCCGCCGCGGUAAUACGGAGGGUGCCAGCGUUACUCGGAAUCACUGGGCGUAAAGCGCGCGCAGGCGGGGUAGCAAGUCAGGUGGGAAAUCCUCUGGGUUAACCAGAGAACUGCAGUGGAAACUGUAAGUCUAGAGUAUGGGAGAGGCAGGUGGAAUUCGUGGUGUAGGGGUAAAAUGCGUAGAGAUCAAGAGGAAUACUGAUUGCGAAGGCGACCUGCUAGAACGUAACUGACGCUGAUGCGCGAAAGCGUGGGGAGCAAACAGGAUUAGAUACCCGGGUAGUC
rnacentral:rRNA from 1 species